CCAUUAGACGUUCUGGGCCGCACGCGCGCUACACUGACCAGUGCAACAAGCAUCCGUCCUUGGCCGACAGGCCCGGGCAAUCUUUGAACGCUGGUCGUGAUGGGGAUAGACUUUUGCAAUUUUUGGUCUUCAACGAGGAAUUCCUAGUAAACGCAAGUCAUCAACUUGCAUUGAUUACGUCCCUGCCCUUUGUACACACCGCCCGUCGCACCUACCGAUUGAAUGGUCCGGUGAAGCCUCCGGAUUGGCGCGCACCUCGGUGCCGCCGAGAAGUUGGCUAAACCUUACCAUUUAGAGGAAGGUGAAGUCGUAACA
rnacentral:rRNA from 1 species